rnacentral:snRNA from 1 species
CCAGAGUUUAGGCUACUGGUGGCUUGAAUUAAAAUUUUGGAACGUCCUGCAUAUCUUACUGGACAAU